UUUUAGCCCUGCUGGCAAUGGAAAUCCUUUCCACAGCUUCGGCGGCGGCUUUGCCGCCGCCGAAGCUGUGGAAAGAUUGUAAUGAACAGCAGGACGGGUU
rnacentral:sRNA from 1 species